AGAGUUUGAUCAUGGCUCAGAUUGAACGCUGGCGGCAUGCCUAACACAUGCAAGUCGAACGAGGGUAGCAAUACCCUAGUGGCGGACGGGUGAGGAACACGUAGGAAUUUGCCCUUAAGUGGGGGAUAGCCCGGGGAAACCCGGAUUAAUACCGCAUGAUCUCGAAAGAGCAAAGUGGGGGAUCGUAAGACCUCACGCUUUUGGAGAAGCCUACGUCGGAUUAGCUAGUUGGUGGGGUAAUGGCCCACCAAGGCGACGAUCCGUAACUGGUCUGAGAGGAUGAUCAGUCACACCGGAACUGAGACACGGUCCGGACUCCUACGGGAGGCAGCAGUGGGGAAUAUUGGACAAUGGGCGAAAGCCUGAUCCAGCAAUGCCGCGUGUGUGAAGAAGGCCUUCGGGUUGUAAAGCACUUUAAGUUGGGAAGAAAAAGCUUCACCUAAUACGUGAAGCCUUGACGGUACCGACAGAAUAAGCACCGGCUAACUCUGUGCCAGCAGCCGCGGUAAUACAGAGGGUGCAAGCGUUAAUCGGAUUUACUGGGCGUAAAGCGUGCGUAGGCGGUUUGCUAAGUCAAUUGUGAAAGCCCUGGGCUUAACCUGGGAAUUGCAGUCGAUACUGGCAGACUAGAGAACGGUAGAGGGAGGCGGAACUCCAGGUGUAGCGGUGAAAUGCGUAGAUAUCUGGAAGAACACCGAUGGCGAAGGCAACCUCCUGGGCCUGUUCUGACGCUGAGGCACGAAAGCGUGGGUAGCAAACAGGAUUAGAUACCCUCGUAGUCC
rnacentral:rRNA from 1 species